rnacentral:lncRNA from 1 species
AUGACUAUGUCUGUUUAGGACGUUCGAGAGUUCGAUUUGAUCAGCACCGGACUUGGCGGCAGAUGCCGUCGUUUGGAGUUUUUGCGCAAAAUAUGUGUUAAAAUGUUCAUCAUUUUUUUUGACGGAGUGUCCGUUUUCGUCGUUCGGAAGAAGUAACUCUCGAGGCAUCUCCUGCAACGUCUCGCGAUACCAAAGGCUGCUUCUCCCUAAUAGCUGAUUUAUUUCCGAAUAUCAAAAAUGUUUUGCGGAUAAAAAAUAAUUUGCUUGGUUAAGAUAUGUC